UCCAAAUGAUGACUUUAGAAGUCUCGUUCGUCUGAACCGCUGUGAAGAACACUCAUAGCAUGGUGGAGUUCUGAUGGAG